rnacentral:rRNA from 1 species
AGCGAACGCUGGCGGCAUGCCUAACACAUGCAAGUCGCACGGGGGGGCUUCGGCCUCCCAGUGGCGGACGGGUGAGGAACGCGUAGGGACCUGUCGAGGGGUGGGGGAUAACCGCGGGAAACUGCGGCUAAUACCGCAUGACGCCGCGGCGUGACAGCCGGGGCCAAAGGCGAAAGCCGCCCGCCGAGGGGCCUGCGUCCGAUUAGCUGGUUGGCGGGGUAGCGGCCCACCAAGGCGUCGAUCGGUAGCUGGUCUGAGAGGGUGAUCAGCCACACCGGGACUGAGACACGGCCCGGACUCCUACGGGUGGCAGCAGUGGGGAAUAUUGGACAAUGGGCGCAAGCCUGAUCCAGCAAUGCCGCGUGGGUGAAGAAGGUCUUCGGAUUGUAAAGCCCUUUCGGCGGGGACGAUGGUGACGGUACCCGCAGAAGAAGCCCCGGCUAACUUCGUG